GUGUCUUGUAUAUCAUAUAUAUGUUUUUUACUCAAGUCGUUGACUUCACUUGCAGCUGUUUCACUUUCUCUCUCGUGUUCAUUAAAAGUCCUCUCCAUCCUCGCCUCCCCUCUGUGGCAGGAGCAGGUGUGCUUUAUUUACAGACUAGGCUCCUUCAGUAACAUUUGAAGGCUGAUGUGGCCUGGAAUGUGUUUACCGUCCUGUUUAGAUAAUAAUCAGACCAAAUCCUUGGGCCAGGAAGGUCGACUGGUGCUUGGGGAAGAAGCAGCUCACAUUCUCAUUUCUGUUCUGAAAUGCCAUUUACUCUGGUUUUGGACUCCUGUGUAUAGAGAUAAGACUAGAUGGCAACUCAGUAAAACCCAACCCUGCAAAACUGUAAAAGUAGUACAUCAAUUGAUUUGCAAACAUCCUGUUUCCAUUCAUAAAGAAAUGUACUGCUUUAAACUUGCGAAUUAAUGUGUUCUGUGGAAAUUCACAGCUAGAAGAAAAGGUCUUGGGCCAGCGGUAAGUUUGGAAGAGGUGGUAAGUAAGUGGAUACUAAGUAUACUAAGUAAGUGGAUACUUAGCAGUAAGUAUCCACUUGUAAGAGGUGGAUAAAGGAUUUUUAACAUUAUUUACAGUGAAGUUAAAAUUGAUUUUUUUUAUUUACAGUGAAAUUAAAAGAUGCUUAUUCCUUGGAAGGAAAGUUAUAAUCAACCUAGACAGCAUAUU